UACAGUGUUUCUCCAUAUUAAUUGCAACUUACUUUCCUAUUCUGUUUUGCUCGCCAUUGUUGUAUGCUUAGGACUUGUGAGCUCUCUGAUUGGCGAUUUAUGAAAUCCUCUAAAGAUCAAUAUUACCUGGAGUAUGUUGUUCUUUGAGUUGCCUCACACCAGUUACUCCCUCCGACCUCUACGGCCUGCUGCCACGCCACCGUCUGCAGAUCCUGCAGAAAGUCCAUGGCGUCCUAUCUCUACGGCACGGGCUGCCGCCACACCACCAUCUGCGGCUCCUGCGGUAAGGCCAUGGCGCACGCCCUGCUCCGCCUCGGUCACCAAUUCCUUUUGACGCCUCCUAAUCGACGGUGGAGGCGCCGACGACGAAGCAAGCAGCCGGCCGCCGCAGCCACGGUCGCGCUUCAGAGUUGGAGCUGGAGGGGAAGAUGCAAGUAAUGGGAAAUCUGCAGUUGGCGAUCGACAAAUAGAAGCUAAGCCUGAUACGCUGACAGUUGAUACUGGUGCUGGGGUUCCAUUCCAUCAAAUAUUUUAGUCAGUUUUCAAGUUCUUUGUAUAUGACCAGAUAUACAGAAAGCAUGCUCAACAACAAGGUAGAGCUGCAAAUAUCUCUUCAAAGAAUAAUUAUGUCCUUACGAAGAAGUUAUCGACCAUUCGAGACUUUGAACCCACUCUCAG